UUACGGCCAUAUCCCGUUGAAACACCAGUUUCCGUACGAUCACCGAAGUUAAGCAAAGUAGAGACUGGUCAGUAUUUAGAUUGGUGACCGCUUGGGAAUACCAGGUGCUGUAAG